CUGUAGCGUCGUGCCUAUACUCGGCCGUCAACGGCGAAGUGGGCGACCCCCUCGCGGGGGUCGGGCCGUUAAGCCUUGACGAGUAGGAGGGUCGCGGCGGUGUGCACUGAAGGGUCACGGCGUGAGCCGGCCUGGAGCCGCCGUCGGCGCAGAUCUUGGUGGUAGUAGCAAAUACUCCAGCGAGGACCUGGAGGACUGACGUGGAGAAGGGUUUCUUGUGAACAGCUGUUGCACAAGAGUCAGUCGACCCUAAGCCCUAGGAGAAAUCCCACGUUGAUGGGUCGCCGGACAAACUCAAAAAACCAAUGAAUUUGACGGCACCCUCAGGGCGAAAGGGAAUCCGGUUCCUAUUCCGGAACCCGGUAGCGGAACCGUUCCAAAACGGGCCCUCGCAAGAGUGCUCGUCGGGGCAACCCAAAGAGACCCGGAGACGCCGUCGGGAGAUCCGGAGAGAGUUUUCUUUUCUCUAUAAGCGUUCGAGUUCCCUGGAAUCCUCUAGCAGGGAGAUAGGGUUUGGAACGCGAAGAGCACCGCAGUUGCAGCGGUGUCCGGAUCUUCCCCUCGGACCUUGAAAAUCCGGGAGAGGGCUACGUGGAAAGUUCGCACCGGAUCGUACCCAUAUCCGCAGCAGGUCUCCAAGGUUAAGAGCCUCUAGUCGAU
rnacentral:rRNA from 1 species